AGAGUUUGAUCAUGGCUCAGGAUGAACGCUGGCGGCGUGCUUAACACAUGCAAGUCGAACGGAGGACCCUUGACGGAGUUUUCGGACAAUAGAUAGGAAUCCUUAGUGGCGGACGGGUGAGUAACGCGUGAGCAACCUGCCCUAGAGUGGGGAAUAACACCGAGAAAUCGGUGCUAAUACCGCAUGAUGCAGUUGGGUCGCAUGGCUCUGACUGCCAAAGAUUUAUCGCUCUGAGAUGGCCUCGCGUCUGAUUAGCUGGUUGGCGGGGUAACGGCCCACCAAGGCGACGAUCGGUAGCCGAACUGAGAGGUUGAUCGGCCACAUUGGGACUGAGACACGGCCCAGACUCCUACGGGAGGCAGCAGUGGGGAAUAUUGGGCAAUGGGAGAAAUCCUGACCCAGCGACGCCGCGUGAUUGAAGAAGGCCUUCGGGUCGUAAAGAUCUUUUAUGCAGGAAGAACACAAUGACGGUACUGCAUGAAUAAGCCCCGGCUAACUACGUGCCAGCAGCCGCGGUAAUACGUAGGGGGCGAGCGUUGUUCGGAAUUACUGGGCGUAAAGGGCGCGCAGGCUGUUAAUCAAGUCAGCUGUUAAAAGUUGCGGCUUAACCGUGAUAUGCAGUUGAAACUGUUUAACUGGAGUAUCGGAGAGGCAAGCGGAAUUCCCAGUGUAGCGGUGAAAUGCGUAGAUAUUGGGAAGAACAUCGGUGGCGAAGGCGGCUUGCUGGCCGAUAACUGACGCUGAGGCGCGAAAGCCAGGGUAGCAAACGGGAUUAGAUACCCCGGUAGUCCUGGCGGUAAACGAUGAAUGCUAGGUGUGCGUGUAGAGAUACAGGUGUGCCGCAGUAAACACGAUAAGCAUUCCGCCUGGGGAGUACGGUCGCAAGAUUGAAACUCAAAGGAAUUGACGGGGGCCCGCACAAGCGGUGGAGCACGUGGUUUAAUUCGAUGCAAACCGAAGUACCUUACCUGGGUUU
rnacentral:rRNA from 1 species